rnacentral:rRNA from 1 species
UUGACAUGUACGGAACUUGCCAGAGAUGGCUUGGUGCUCGAAAGAGAGCCGUAACACAGGUGCUGCAUGGCUGUCGUCAGCUCGUGUCGUGAGAUGUUGGGUUAAGUCCCGCAACGAGCGCAACCCUUGUCAUUAGUUGCUACGAAAGGGCACUCUAAUGAGACUGCCGGUGACAAACCGGAGGAAGGUGGGGAUGACGUCAAGUCCUCAUGGCCCUUAUGGGUAGGGCUACACACGUCAUACAAUGGCCGGUACAAAGGGCAGCCAACCCGCGAGGGGGAGCCAAUCCCGUAAAGCCGGUCGUAGUCCGGAUCGCAGUCUGCAACUCGACUGCGUGAAGUCGGAAUCGCUAGUAAUCGUGGAUCAGCAUGUCACGGUGAAUACGUUCCCGGGUCUU